CAUGCGCUAUUGGGUGGAAAUCGGUCUGUUCCGUCUGAUUGCAAAGGAAACAUUAUCCUAGCUAAAAGGACAGGGCUUCUGCCAUGUCCUUGUGCUUAUUUGGUACCUGCACAGGCCUGUGUUCCUCAGAGGGAGCUUUGCUCUUGUGCCAAACCAGCUCUAGUUUGGGUUAGAUUCUGUUCCAUCAAGUGGGCUGUUUGAUCUCUAUCUUCUCUCUCCCACUAGGAAUUUGAUUGUUGCCAUCCUGUAGCCCAAGUCAGGCUGUGGUGGGAACAAAGCACACGAAAGUGAAGCCUGCUUCUGCGGUGUGACUUCUGCUCUCAAGCUCUUUUGUAUACAGAAGAGGGUUCAAGACUCCUAAGAAGCACAGCAGAACAGGAACAAGAGCCUCAGCUCCUGGCUGAGGGAGAGGAGUCUCAGGAGACAGCUGAGCCCAGCUCAUGGACUCCUUGCAGAACAAAGAAUGUCAUGGCACUAUUUACGAUUUUUUGAAAGUUUUAUUUUUGAUGUCUUCAUUUUUUUUGUUUAUUUUCAGCAUGGGAAAUAUUGUCUUAUGAUCAGCUGAAUUUUAUUAUCCUCCCUUGGAAACUUCAAGGUGGGGGGAAAGAARGAGAGAGAGAGAAGGGGACUCUCUAGGAAGAUCAUCUGCUCCAGGCAUUAUGGGCUUGAUGUGACUACUGAUGUGUUCCUGCUGAGCAGCUGAGUGGCGAGGGCAGAUGGGGGAGCUGCGCAGCAUUGGGAACUGUUGACGAAGCAGCCAGACUUUUGGGGAAGAGGGAAGAAAUAGUUGUUCCAGUGAUGUGAAAACAUCUGUGUGCUUGCUAGUAAGGCGUGGGUAUGGAAAGCAGCCAGCUGCUGAGCCAGGAUUUGAAUCCAUUGCUUACUACCAUUGCCGAGUGAAAUAUGACCCCUGCCAGGUAAGAGCAGUGGGAACCUGAGCAGGACCUGUCCUGCUACAGAUCCACGUCUGAGCCUACUCCACUUGUUCAUGCCACAAUAACUGCGUGCAGCAGCCAUCGCCUGCACCUUGCUGGUGGCACCCCUGUCCCAGAGCAGGGGGCCUUUGGACGUGGCUGCGGGGCCACGUGGCGUGGGGCCGGUGUGGACACAGCUCUUAAGCAGCACGGCGUCAGCGGGAAGGCGCUUCCGCUAGCGGGGCUGGGGCUGGCUCCCGGCCUCGAGGCGGGAGGCUUCGCAGAGGCCUUCGCAUCACCCGUGUUCAGACUUCUGCUCCUCGUUGACUUCACCCUCUGAAACCACUUUUGAAGACUGGCGAGCGUUAUAUAACACUGGAUUUGAACUCCCAUUUAGAAAAUGGGAGCAGAAGAAACGGGCAAAUAUCACUGAUCUUGACAAAUUUGAGUGGAGCAGCGAGCAGGACCCUGCGUGGGCUGAAAGCGCUCGCUCYUGCGCAGUGCUCGGCAGCAGGGGGGAGGAAGGGUUUAACCAGGCGUCCGGACCUGCCCAGACCCGGGACUAUUGAACCACCGUUUGGUAGAAAUGCAGCUUUGCUUAAUUUUCUCAUAUUUUUUUUGUGUGCUUAAUUUAUUAAAAUAGUUGCUGUAUAAUUUAUUUUCAUAAA
rnacentral:lncRNA from 1 species